rnacentral:lncRNA from 1 species
CCUCACCUGCAGAUGUUAUCAAAAAGGUCAUUUAAUUCAUUUUUUCACUGCUAAGCUUGUUUGAAUGUGCUGCAUCUGAAUUACUUUUUUUUUUUUUUUUUUUUUAAUGAGCUUAUCUUGAUUGAAGCUGUAUAUUAUUAAGCAGUAGUUGCAUGUAAGUUGUCAGGACUGGCCGAGUACUUGGUGUGUGUGUGUGAUAGUAGGCCAUAUAAGACCCACGGGAUAUUCAGGCUGUUAUGCUACGUGAACAAGACCGGCCUACUUUAGAGGAAGCUAGCUUUGAGCCAUGUGGACAUAAGGCACUCUGCAUGACUUUGCUUUCAGGCCAUGGAUUGCUCUCUGGGAUAUAAAUGGAAAUAGGGAUGGGACAAUAAAAGGAU